rnacentral:misc_RNA from 1 species
CCAGUCAAAGCUAAUAUCGAACUCAAUCUCUCCGGCUGUUAUUGGGGUAAUUCUUGUUACCCAUUUCUCCAAGUGUGCUACCUUUCCAAGCUUCCCCAGCAGAUCAUUCGCUGGGUCUCGGACAGCACUGAUAAGCUGUAUGGAGAUGCCUUUGCCAAACAACUCACGAAACCGAUCAAGACAUGAAGCUUUAAUGUCAUCGAAGUCGAGAACAUUUUUCUUCAUCAAC